rnacentral:tRNA from 1 species
AUUUAUAUAAUAUAAAAAUUAUAAUUGACUUCCAAUCAAUAAAUCUAUACAAUAGUAUAAAUA